AUUGAACGCUGGCGGCAGGCCUAAUACAUGCAAGUCGAGCGGAUGAAGGGAGCUUGCUCCUGGAUUCAGCGGCGGACGGGUGAGUAAUGCCUAGGAAUCUGCCUGGUAGUGGGGGAUAACGUCCGGAAACGGGCGCUAAUACCGCAUACGUCCUGAGGGAGAAAGUGGGGGAUCUUCGGACCUCACGCUAUCAGAUGAGCCUAGGUCGGAUUAGCUAGUUGGUGGGGUAAAGGCCUACCAAGUCGACGAUCCGUAACUGGUCUGAGAGGAUGAUCAGUCACACUGGAACUGAGACGCGGUCCUGACUCCUACGGGAGGCAGCAGUGGGGAAUAUUGGACAAUGGGCGAAAGCCUGAUCCAGCCAUGCCGCGUGUGUGAAGAAGGUCUUCGGAUUGUAAAGCACUUUAAGUUGGGAGGAAGGGCAGUAAGUUAAUACCUUGCUGUUUUGACGUUACCAACAGAAUAAGCACCGGCUAACUUCGUG
rnacentral:rRNA from 1 species